rnacentral:rRNA from 1 species
CCUACGGGAGACAGCAGUGAGGAAUAUUGGUCAAUGGACGAGAGUCUGAACCAGCCAAGUAGCGUGAAGGAUGACUGCCCUAUGGGUUGUAAACUUCUUUUAUAUGGGAAUAAAAUGUUCCACGUGUGGGAUUUUGUAUGUACCAUAUGAAUAAGGAUCGGCUAACUCCGUGCCAGCAGCCGCGGUAAUACGGAGGAUCCGAGCGUUAUCCGGAUUUAUUGGGUUUAAAGGGAGCGUAGGUGGAUUGUUAAGUCAGUUGUGAAAGUUUGCGGCUCAACCGUAAAAUUGCAGUUGAAACUGGCAGUCUUGAGUACAGUAGAGGUGGGCGGAAUUCGUGGUGUAGCGGUGAAAUGCUUAGAUAUCACGAAGAACUCCGAUUGCGAAGGCAGUUCACUGGACUGCAACUGACACUGAGGCUCGAAAGUGUGGGUAUCAAACAGGAUUAGAUACCCCUGUAGUU